UCUCUCUAGGUAAUGAGAUUCACCCUGACGUAGAGAAAUCGCGCCACCCAGCGUUUGUCAGAAGUUAAAGCCCGGAAGCUGUAGCUGGCAGUUACGAAAACAUAAACACGACAAAGUAGAAGAGCAAAGCACACGAUAAGUCUGCGAUCCGCCGUAAAAUAAGAAGAAGGAGAGGAAGCAAAGCACAUGUGCUCUCCUCAACUUUGAAAAUUUGCAACAUCGUUUUAUUGACGCGCUCAACGGGACUAAUGUCUGUGUUGUUGUCAGUGCUGGUCGGUGUGCUUGCUGCAUACGUACUUAUUUAUUACAGCCUGUUUAAAGGAGCCAGAUGUAAGAGCAACGUGACGUUAAAGGGGAAAACAGCAAUUGUUACAGGGAGUAAUACUGGCAUUGGCAAAACAACAGCCUUGGAUCUGGCCAAGAGAGGGGCCCGAGUGAUCCUUGCCUGCCGAAACAAACAGAAAGCUGAAGCUGCAGUUUAUGACAUACGAAAGGAAAGUGGGAACCCUGAGGUGCUGUACAUGCAUCUGGACCUGGCCAGUUUGACAUCUGUGCGUGGUUUUGCAGAGACUUUUCUGAAAAGUGAACCGAGACUCGACUUGCUCAUUAACAAUGCAGGUA